rnacentral:misc_RNA from 1 species
AACGCACGAGACCUGCGGACCUGCGGAGGGAUCAUUCGUGAAGCAGGCGCUCCGUCGCCCUUCUCUACCCUUCAACCAUGUGGUCUUCUGCCAUUGCCUCGGGGGGGUUUGAGGCGGCCUCGGCCGUCGGGGCCCCUUGCUGGGCCCCGCCCCCCCGCGUGCCCUUGAUAAAGUCUUGGAGUGAUAUUUGCGUCUGAUCUGUCCGGUGGACAUAAUGAAAAUAAAACUUUCAGCAAUGGA